rnacentral:rRNA from 1 species
UACAGAGGUCUCAAGCGUUGUUCGGAUUCAUUGGGCGUAAAGGGUGCGUAGGCGGUUCGAUAAGUCGGACGUGAAAUCUCCACGCUCAACGUGGAGGGGCCGUUCGAUACUGUCGUGACUCGAGUCCGGUAGGGGAGUGUGGAAUUCCCGGUGUAGCGGUGAAAUGCGUAGAUAUCGUGAGGAACACCCGUGGCGAAAGCGGCGCGCUGGACCACUACUGACGCUGAGGAACGAAAGCUAGGGGAGCAAACAGG